rnacentral:tRNA from 1 species
UAAAGAUAGAGUCCCGUUCUACAUGUCAAUAUACCGGCAACAAUGAAACUUA